CUAACGAGGAUUCCUAAAGUAACUGCGAGUGAAAUAGGAACAAGUCCAGCGCCGAAUCUCCCACCCCCACGGGUGGCGAGAAAUGUGGUGUGAAGGAAAACGAUAUUCGGCUCGACGCACGUUUUUCAAGUCCGUUUGAUAGCGGCCACAUACCUAUGGAGGGUGCGAGGCCUGUGUACGGAACGUGGCGCGGGUCGAUACGCGUUUUCCACAGAGUCGGGUUGCUCGGGUUUGCAGCCUAAAUCGGGUGGUAAACUCCAUCUAAGACUAAAUAUCGAUACGAGACCGAUAGCGAACAAGUACCGUGAGGGAAAGUUGAAAAGAACUUUGAAGAGAGAGUUCAAAAGUACGUGAAACCGCUUAAAGGUAAGCGGAGGAGCUCGAAAAGGAAGCGUCCGAUUCAGCUCGAUUCACCGCGAUCCCGUGUCUCGAGGAGUUGGUGCCUUCGGGUGCCCUUACCUUCGGGAUACGGAGCUGUUUGCGGGGGAUAGGGUGCAUUUCGGGCGUAUUUCGUUGUCGUGACCGAUGGCCGACGUUACUUCGCGCGUAUACGCGGGGCCGUCGCACCCUUCACUGGGUCGCGACGCUCAAAAGUUAACGCGUCAAACUAUCGAAGUAUUCAGUCGGCGAUCGACUUUGACGAGAGAAAUGCCGCGGUGGCCCGUUUUUUAAGGGCGCGCGCUUACGAGAUAGCCGAGGCUAGCCUGGCGAGUAGUUCGCGAUGUGGCGACCUCCGGGUCGUCGUCCGAAUUCUCGAGUUCGGUGUCUCGCUUCCGGGUGCGCUUCCGUCGGCGUGGUCUCACGACGUCACCAAUUUCGACGCUUCUCCGACCCGUCUUGAAACACGGACCAAGGAGUCUAACAGGUGCGCGAAUCGCUGGGUGCUCCGCGAAACCCGGGGGUGAAACGAAAGUGAAAGGACCUCUUCGCGAGGCCUGAGGAAAGAUGCCGCGUCCUCGCGGCGCGGUCGCAUUUCCGUUCUGCCGCGAUCGGAGCAAUCGCGAUGCGGUGGAAAAAGAGCGUACACGUUGGGACCCGAAAGAUGGUGAUCUAUGCCUGGGCAGGAUGAAGCC
rnacentral:rRNA from 1 species